AUUGAACGCUGGCGGCAUGCCUUACACAUGCAAGUCGAACGGUAACGCGGGGGCAACCCUGGCGACGAGUGGCGAACGGGUGAGUAAUACAUCGGAACGUGUCCUGUUGUGGGGGAUAACCCAUCGAAAGGUGAGCUAAUACCGCAUGAUCUGGAGACAGCAAAGCAGGGGACCGGUAACGGCCUUGACGCGAUUGGAGCGGCCGAUGUCCGAUUAGCUAGUUGGUGGGGUAAAGGCCCACCAAGGCAACCGAAUCGGUAGCUGGUCUGAGAGGAUGAUCAGCCACACUGGGACUGAGACACGGCCCAGACUCCUACGGGAGGCAGCAGUGGGGAAUUUUGGACAAUGGGGGCAA
rnacentral:rRNA from 1 species